rnacentral:lncRNA from 1 species
GCAUAACUAUCAACGGAGGAGCUAUCACACUAGAUCUAUCUCAAAUAAUCAUUUACUACUUUCAUACAUAAGGACAGCUGAGCCCAGUGCACUAAGCUCCCGCUAUGUGCGAGAUCUGGGGAAAGGCCGGACCACAUUGCAUAGGUAUUUAUAGGUUUUCUUCUAGCAUGUACCUAGUCUAUUACAUGCACAUAAUUCAAUUCCGGAUUUUCUUUCAUCUUCUCUAGUUCAUGAACAAACUAAAACAAUAUAUCUAUCAUAACUAAUUUUCUAUAUAUACAUAUCAAAAAUUAAAAAUAAAAUUAUCUUUCCAACACAAAGUUCACUCCUAUACAUACUUAGAAAAUGUCAUUCCAUAGUAAUAAAUUUUUUAGUUAUUGGAUCCUUGUCAUAAUUAACCAUCAUUUGUUAUUUUUAACAGGUUAACCAACAAGCUUGAUCAACCUUAGCAGCCUACCU